rnacentral:rRNA from 1 species
AGUCGAACGGGGAUGCAGCGAUGUAUCCUAGUGGCGACCGGGUGCGUAACACGUAGCUGACCUGCCCCUCAGCGGGGGACAACAUGCCGAAAGGCGUGCUAAUACCGCAUGAACUGGAGGUGACCAGAUAGCCUUCAGGAAACCUACGGGGCUGAGGGAGGGGGCUGCGGCUCAUCAGGUAGUUGGUGGGGUAACGGCUCACCAAGCCGACGACGAGUAGGGGGCCUGAGAGGGUGACCCCCCACACUGGAACUGACACACGGUCCAGACUCCUACGGGAGGCAGCAGUAAGGAAUAUUGGGCAAUGGGCGCAAGCCUGACCCAGCAACGCCGCGUGGAGGAAGAAGGUCUUCGGAUCGUAAACUCCUUUUGAGGGGGACGAGGAAGGACGGUACCCCUUGAAUAAGUGACGGCUAACUACGUGCCAGCAGCCGCGGUAAUACGUAGGUCACGAGCGUUAUCCGGAUUUACUGGGCGUAAAGCGUGUGCAGGCUGUUAGGUAAGUGGUGUGUGAAAGCGCUCGGCUUAACCGGGCGAGGUCAUGCCAGACUGCCUAGCUAGAGGCAGCCAGAGGGACAUGGAAUUCCGAGUGUAGCGGUGAAAUGCGUAGAGAUUCGGAGGAACACCAGAGGCGAAGGCGGUGUCCUGGGGCUGACCUGA